rnacentral:rRNA from 1 species
UUUUACAACCGUACCGCUCUGAGAAUGCCCCAUUCUAUCUGAUCUCAGAAAUUAAGAAGGGUUCAAGGUUGAUGAGUACCUGAAUAAGAGACUUUCUGAGAACACCAAGUGUUUUAUUAU